UAAUAAGUGUUUUAUGGCACUUUUUAAAUCCAUAUCCACCUUGUGUGCAAUGUCAGUCGAUCUUAUUCAUGGAGAUCGACCAAACAUCAACCUUUAUCUUUUAACUCUUUGUCUGAAAAAUAUUAUGAAUAAACAAUUCAAAAUA
rnacentral:misc_RNA from 1 species